rnacentral:rRNA from 1 species
UGGGGGAUAUUGCACAAUGGGCGAAAGCCUGAUGCAGCGACGCCGCGUGUGGGAUGAAGGCUUUCGGGUUGUAAACCUCUUUCGCUAUCGAACAAGGCCCGCUUAGGGUGGGUUGAGGGUAGGUGGAGAAGAAGCGCCGGCUAACUACGUGCCAGCAGCCGCGGUAAUACGUAGUGCGCGAGCGUUGUCCGGAAUUAUUGGGCGUAAAGGGCUUGUAGGCGGCUUGUUGCGCCUGCUGUGAAAACGCGGGGCUUAACUUCGCGCGGGAAGUGGGUACGGGCAGGAUUGAGUGUGGUAGGGGUGACUGGAAUGCCAGGUGUAGCGGUGGAAUGGGCAGAUAUCUGGAGGAGCACCGAUGGCGAAGGCAGGUCACUGGGCCAUUACUGACGCUGAGGAGAGAAAGCAUGGGUAGCGAACAGG